CUAAAUCCCUAGCCCCACUUUAUUUUAUAAAAAACCCUUAACUCUCUCAACAUACUAAAACAUUUUACCAAUUUAGUAAAGGCGAAGAAAAAAUUACUUAGAGCAAUAAAAAUAGUACCGCAAGGGAAAGAUGAAAUAAAACUGAAAUAAUUUUAAGCACAAAAAAGUAGAGUUUUCCCCUCGUACCUUUCGCAUCAUGGUUUAACUAGUCUAAUUAGGCAAAAAGAACUUUAGUCUAACUUCCCGAACCUAGGCGAGCUACUUUAAGACAGCUUUUUGAGCCAACCCAUCUCUGUUGCAAAAGAGUGGGAAGAUCUUACAGUAGCGGUGACAGACCUAACGAGCCUAGUGAUAGCUGGUUGCUUUAUAAAAGGAUUUUAGUCCCACUUAAAGAUAAACUAUACUUAAAAAUUUACUUUAAAGUAAUUCAAAUAAGGUUCAGCCUAUUUGAAAAAGGAUACAACCUUCAACAUUGGGUAAUUUCCAUUUUUUGUUUGACUAAGUAGGCCUAAAAGCAGCCAUCUUAAACAAAAGCGUCAAAGCUUAUUCACCUUAAAAUUUAAUUCUAUUCUUAAUUUUUAACCCUUCAUUACCAAAAAGCAAUUCUAUAUCAUUAUAGAAGAUUUUAUGUUAAAACUAGUAACAAGAAGUUAACCCUUCUCUUAAAUGUACCUGUUAUUCAGCAAGGAUUCACCACUGCAAUUUAACGUCCUUAAACUCCAAGUAGUAACAUCUCAAGAAAAUCCUACUUUUUUUCACGUUGACCUAACACAAGAACAUCCUAAGAAAGAUUUAAAGAAAAAGAAGGAAUUCGGCAAACAUUAGCCUCGCCUGUUUACCAAAAACAUCGCCUCUUGAUUUAUCAUAAGAGGUCAAGCCUGCCCAGUGACAUUGUUCAACGGCCGCGGUAUCCUAACCGUGCGAAGGUAGCGUAAUCAUUUGUCCUUUAAAUGAGGACUUGUAUGAAUGGCUUCACGAAAGCUAUACUGUCUCCUUUUUCUAAUCAGUAAAAUUAAUCUUCCCGUGAAGAAGCGGGAAUAAAUCUAUAAGACGAGAAGACCCUAUGGAGCUUCAAACAACUGAGACAUUUGAUUUCUUAUCUUUAAAUCUUUAUAAAACUAAACAUUUUGUCUCUAGUUUUAGGUUGGGGUGACCACGGAGCAAAAUUUAACCUCCAUGACGAAUAAAAUCCUUAUUUUUUAAGCAAAAAGUUACAUCUUUACGCAUCAACAAAUUGACCUUCAUUGACCCAAUUAAUUGAUCAACGAACCAAGUUACCCUAGGGAUAACAGCGCAAUCCACUUCAAGAGCUCUUAUCGACAAGUGGGCUUACGACCUCGAUGUUGGAUCAGGGUGUCCCAGUGGUGCAGCCGCUACUAACGGUUCGUUUGUUCAACGAUUAAAACCCU
rnacentral:rRNA from 1 species